GACAGAGGUGCCAAGCGUUAGGCGGAAUCACUGGGCUUAAAGCGUGUGUAGGUGGAUGCCUAAGUGCCUUGUGAAAUCCCCACGGCUCAACCGUGGAAUUGCUGGGCAUACUGGGUGUCUUGAGCCAUCUAGGGGUCGCUGGAACAAACGGUGGAGCGGUGAAAUGCGUAGAUAUUCGUUUGGAACGCCAAUGGUGAAAACAGGCGACUGGAGAUGUGCUGACACUGAGACACGAAAGCCAGGGGAGCAAACGGG
rnacentral:rRNA from 1 species